rnacentral:rRNA from 1 species
GAUGAACGCUGGCGGCGUGCCUAAUACAUGCAAGUUGAGCGAACGGACGAGAAGCUUGCUUCUCUGAUGUUAGCGGCGGACGGGUGAGUAACACGUGGAUAACCUACCUAUAAGACUGGGAUAACUUCGGGAAACCGGAGCUAAUACCGGAUGAUAUUUUGAACCGCAUGGUUCAAAAGUGAAAGACGGUCUUGCUGUCACUUAUAGAUGGAUCCGCGCUGCAUUAGCUAGUUGGUAAGGUAACGGCUUACCAAGGCAACGAUGCAUAGCCGACCUGAGAGGGUGAUCGGCCACACUGGAACUGAGACACGGUCCAGACUCCUACGGGAGGCAGCAGUAGGGAAUCUUCCGCAAUGGGCGAAAGCCUGACGGAGCAACGCCGCGUGAGUGAUGAAGGUCUUCGGAUCGUAAAACUCUGUUAUUAGGGAAGAACAUAUGUGUAAGUAACUGUGCACAUCUUGACGGUACCUAAUCAGAAAGCCACGGCUAACUACGUG